UGAAAAAAGUCGCAGAAGUAGAAUACGAAUUUGAUUGCUGUUUUUUCUUGAGGAAUUGAACGUUGCAAUAUAAUAACAGAAGCGCGGAAAAAAGAAGACAAAAAAAAAACAGGGACAAUUUCAACGCAACUUUUCUCAUCGCAUCGGAAAAAAACGAAUUUCGAAUACAGUAACGAGGCGACGUUUUUCCCGAAUGACUGCCGAUACCGAUGUUCCGCCGUAAUCUAUCUUAUUUUCUUUCCACCCCUCGGAGAGUCGUUUCGCCUACAUCGCUACGUUGGUUUUCCAAACAUGUAACUACGGAAAAUACUCGUAUGUUCCGUUUGCCAUUCAACGUGAAAGGUAACAUCGAUGUCAAAAAGGUGGAUUAGAAGAUUUCGAAAUGAGUGCUGUCAUAUUUAGAACUAAAGUGAACCCCCCCGCCGACCUGUAACGGGUGUAAUUCCGUAAUAUCGUGUUUUAAAGCAGAGUUCUUGCCGAAAAAGAACGAUUAAAUUAUGUGUUCAUAACCAAUCCUUGAUGUAGACUGAAGUAGAAUUUCAUCCAACGGAGUGCGGUUGACGUCCAACGAUAUAAGUACGGGUCAGUAACCUCGAGAAGCCCUGCUGGCGGACGGACGGCCUUGAAAGGUCACAUAGACGGGUCUAUGACCUGCAGAGCCCGGCAUGCGCAGGAUGACAGAUAGAAAAACAGAAAGACAUACAUACACUCUUGGAAAUCCAGACACUCACUAGAAAGCCCAGCUCAGACAGACAGAAGACCUCGAGAGGCUAC